UUCCGUAGGUGAACCUGCGGAGGGAUCAUUACCGAGUUUACAACUCCCAAACCCCUGUGAACAUACCAAUUGUUGCCUCGGCGGAUCAGCCCGCUCCCGGUAAAACGGGACGGCCCGCCAGAGGACCCCUAAACUCUGUUUCUAUAUGUAACUUCUGAGUAAAACCAUAAAUAAAUCAAAACUUUCAACAACGGAUCUCUUGGUUCUGGCAUCGAUGAAGAACGCAGCAAAAUGCGAUAAGUAAUGUGAAUUGCAGAAUUCAGUGAAUCAUCGAAUCUUUGAACGCACAUUGCGCCCGCCAGUAUUCUGGCGGGCAUGCCUGUUCGAGCGUCAUUUCAACCCUCAAGCCCAGCUUGGUGUUGGGACUCGCGAGUUAAACCGCGUUCCCCAAAUUGAUUGGCGGUCACGUCGAGCUUCCAUAGCGUAGUAGUAAAACCCUCGUUACUGGUAAUCGUCGCGGCCACGCCGUUAAACCCCAACUUCUGAAUGUUGACCUCGGAUCAGGUAGGAAUACCCGCUGAACUUAAGCAUAUCAAUAAGUCGGAGGAA
rnacentral:rRNA from 1 species